rnacentral:rRNA from 1 species
UACGGAGGGGGCGAGCGUUGUCCGCAGUUACUGGGCGUAAAGGGCGCGUAGGCGGGAAGCUAAGUCCGCUGUCAAAGCCCGGGGCUCAACCCCGGAAGGUCGGUGGAGACUGGUUUUCUUGAAGCUGCCAGGGGGAGAUGGAAUUACCGGUGUAGCGGUGAAAUGCGUAGAUAUCGGGAAGAACACCCGUGGCGAAGGCGGCUCUCUGGGACGGUACUGACGCUGAGACGCGAAAGCGUGGGGAGCGAACAGG